rnacentral:tRNA from 1 species
GCCGCGGUAGCUCAGAGCUUCUUGCUGGAAACCGAAGGGUCGUCGGUUCAACUCCGACCCGCGGCA